UACGUGGGGGGCAAGCGUUGUUCGGAAUUACUGGGCGUAAAGGGCUCGUAGGCGGCCAACUAAGUCAGACGUGAAAUCCCUCGGCUUAACCGGGGAACUGCAUCUGAUACUGGAUGGCUUGAGUUCGGGAGAGGGAUGCGGAAUUCCAGGUGUAGCGGUGAAAUGCGUAGAUAUCUGGAGGAACACCGGUGGCGAAGGCGGCGUCCUGGACCGACACUGACGCUGAGGAGCGAAAGCCAGGGGAGCAAACGGG
rnacentral:rRNA from 1 species